AAUCAUAAAUAAAACAUUUGUUUUUGCAUUUAUAGAAAAUAUAAUGGGGAAAAUGUAUUUUUAAAAAAUUAAACAUCUCGACUAAUAAGUAUAAGUACCAACAGAUUUUGUAUGGAAUUGCAGCUGUACAUAUAUUAUAUUGCUAUGCGCAUUGUAGUAGUGUCUGGAUAUAUUAUUGCUGAGGUGUCUCAUAUGCCAGAUGUGUACCAGAUGGCGACUCUAGUGGAAUUGAAUCGGAGUCGUCCGUUCGAUGGCGCUUCAGUCGUCAAGUUUUGAGGUUGGUUGGCGGCCAUAUCUGCCGUGUAUAUGUAUAGAUGGUGACUGCGCGUAAUUCAUUCAGUGAGUGCGCGUCCAACGUACUGGUUUUUCGGUGCAUCGUUAUUGCAUUCUCAUAA